rnacentral:rRNA from 1 species
AUAACGUCGCAAGACCAAAGAGGGGGACCUUCGGGCCUCUUGCCAUCGGAUGUGCCCAGAUGGGAUUAGCUAGUAGGUGGGGUAACGGCUCACCUAGGCGACGAUCCCUAGCUGGUCUGAGAGGAUGACCAGCCACACUGGAACUGAGACACGGUCCAGACUCCUACGGGAGGCAGCAGUGGGGAAUAUUGCACAAUGGGCGCAAGCCUGAUGCAGCCAUGCCGCGUGUAUGAAGAAGGCCUUCGGGUUGUAAAGUACUUUCAGCGGGGAGGAAGGUGUUGUGGUUAAUAACCACAGCAAUUGACGUUACCCGCAGAAGAAGCACCGGCUAACUCCGUGCCAGCAGCCGCGGUAAUACGGAGGGUGCAAGCGCUAAUCGGAAUUACUGGGCGUAAAGCGCACGCAGGUGUCUGUCAAGUCGGAUGUGAAAUCCCCGGGCUCAACCUGGGAACUGCAUCCGAAACUGGCAGGCUAGAGUCUUGUAGAGGGGGGUAGAAUUCCAGGUGUAGCGGUGAAAUGCGUAGAGAUCUGGAGGAAUACCGGUGGCGAAGGCGGCCCCCUGGACAAAGACUGACGCUCAGGUGCGAAAGCGUGGGGAGCAAACAGGAUUAGAUACCCUGGUAGUCCACGCCGUAAACGAUGUCGACUUGGAGGUUGUUCCCUUGAGGAGUGGCUUCCGGAGCUAACGCGUUAAGUCGACCGCCUGGGGAGUACGGCCGCAAGGUUAAA